UACGUAGGCAGCAAGCGUUGUUCGGAGUUACUGGGCGUAAAGCGCACGUAGGCGGCUUUGCAAGUUAGAGGUGAAAGCCCGGGGCUCAACUCCGGAAUUGCCUUUAAAACUGCAUCGCUAGAAUUGUGGAGAGGUAAGUGGAAUUCCGAGUGUAGAGGUGAAAUUCGUAGAUAUUCGGAAGAACACCAGUGGCGAAGGCGACUUACUGGACACAUAUUGACGCUGAGGUGCGAAAGCGUGGGGAGCAAACAGG
rnacentral:rRNA from 1 species